AUUGAACGCUGGCGGCAGGCCUAACACAUGCAAGUCGAGCGGAGCGGCGGACGGGUGAGUAAUGCCUAGGAAUCUGCCUGGUAGUGGGGGAUAACGUCCGGAAACGGGCCCUAAUACCGCAUACUAUCAGAUGAGCCUAGGUCGGAUUAGCUAGUUGGUGGGGUAAUGGAUUACCAAGGCGACGAUGCAUAGCUGAACUGAGAGGAUGAUCAGUCACACUGGGACUGAGACACGGCCCAGACUCCUACGGGAGGCAGCAGUGGGGAAUAUUCGGCAAUGGACGAAAGUCUGACCCAGCCAUGCCGCGGGUGUGAAGAAGGUUUUCGGAUUGUAAAGCUCUGUUAGUAGGGAGGCGGUACCUACACAGUAAGCACCGGCUAACUACGUGCCAGCAGCCGCGGUAAUAC
rnacentral:rRNA from 1 species